rnacentral:rRNA from 1 species
GACGAACGCUGGCGGCGUGCUUAACACAUGCAAGUCGAACGGAAAGGCCCUGCUUUUGUGGGUGCUCGAGUGGCGAACGGGUGAGUAACACGUGAGUAACCUGCCCUUGACUUUGGGAUAACUUCAGGAAACUGGGGCUAAUACCGGAUAGGAGCUCCUGCUGCAUGGUGGGGGUUGGAAAGUUUCGGCGGUUGGGGAUGGACUCGCGGCUUAUCAGCUUGUUGGUGGGGUAGUGGCUUACCAAGGCUUUGACGGGUAGCCGGCCUGAGAGGGUGACCGGCCACAUUGGGGCUGAGAUACGGCCCAGACUCCUACGGGAGGCAGCAGUGGGGAAUAUUGCACAAUGGGCGGAAGCCUGAUGCAGCAACGCCGCGUGCGGGAUGACGGCCUUCGGGUUGUAAACCGCUUUCGCCUGUGACGAAGCGUGAGUGACGGUAAUGGGUAAAGAAGCACCGGCUAACUACGUG